GUCCAGACUCCUACGGGAGGCAGCAGUCGGGAAUAUUGCGCAAUGGAGGAAACUCUGACGCAGUGACGCCGCGUGCAGGAAGAAGGUUUUCGGAUUGUAAACUGCUUUAGACAGGGAAGAAACAAGACAGUACCUGUAGAAUAAGCUCCGGCUAACUACGUGCCAGCAGCCGCGGUAAUACGUAGGGAGCAAGCGUUAUCCGGAUUUAUUGGGUGUAAAGGGUGCGUAGACGGGAAGGCAAGUUAGUUGUGAAAUCCCUCGGCUUAACUGAGGAACUGCAACUAAAACUAUCUUUCUUGAGUGCUGGAGAGGAAAGUGGAAUUCCUAGUGUAGCGGUGAAAUGCGUAGAUAUACGGAGGAACACCAGCGGCGAAGGCGGCCUGCUGGACAUUAACUGACGCUGAGGCGCGAAAGCGUGGGGAGCAAACAGGAUUAGAUACCCUUGUAC
rnacentral:rRNA from 1 species